rnacentral:lncRNA from 1 species
UUGGUUGCUUAUUUGAAGCCAGCCUAUUGGCAGGCAGUAGUGCUUGGAUUUCAACCCUGGGUCUGGCUCUAGAGUCCAUGCCUCUUACCUCAGCCAUUGGUCUGAGAUGCUCAGGGUUGGUCUGGGGAUUCUUGCCCUCUGGUGCUUAUGUUUUAGGUGGGAUUGGGACAUCUGAUAAGUAAGGAUGUUGUGCAUCAGGUGUGGCAAAUAUAGCAGGAGGAAGCAUUAAGCAUGGUGAUGACAAGAGUGGAGCCGUUGGGUGGGUAAGGAAGGCUUUUCACUUAAAGGGACGUUUGAGCAGAGGUAUGCUGAGGGCAUAUGACAGUGUAAUCUGGGGAUGAGAACUCUUGGCGGUUCAAAAGUGACAUACAACUCUGCUUGGGCCAGCCUUGCAACAGUAGAGGUGUCAGUGGGAUGAGUGGAGCAAGUUUGGGCCUCACGAUUGAUGAGGUCAGAGCUGUACGCUGGGAACAAAUCAUGGAGUGUUUUGUGAGUGAACUGGAAGAACUUUUCCUUCUAUUCUCAGUGUGGCAGGUAGUCAGUGGAGGGUUUUGAACAGAGGAGUGAUCACUACCUGGUUUAUAUUUUCAGAAGGAUGACUGGACCAAGGUACACACCAAAAGCCAGCUGGAAGGCCAUUGCAGAAUUCAAGUUAGGUGCAGUGGUGGCCAGAUUAUUGGUAGUGGGGGUGGUUUAUCAGUGAAUCAGGAUGAAAAGAGCUGUGUUUUCAAUUUUACUAUGAGAUAGUGGUCCCCUGUUUUAUAUCAAUUUAUUUCCUCUUCUGCUGAUGGUACAAUUAGUUGUUUCCAUCUUUCCAUGUUAUGGAUAAUGCUGCUACACGAUAUCUUGUGCAUACCUUUUGGAGCAUUACUUUCUCUAGGAAUGUGAAAUUUCCAGGUUGUAUUAGUAAGUAUCGAGGUGAUUUGUAUGGUAGUUAUAACACCUGUGUUUAAAAAGAGGUUUUAUUUAUUUAUUUAUUUUUUAAAGAGAGAGAGAGAAUUUAUUUAUUUAUUUUUUUGGCAGACACAACAUCUUUGUUUGUACGUGGUGCUGAGGAUCGAACCCAGGCCGCACGCAUGCCAGGCGAGCGCGCUACCACUUGAGCCACCUCCCCAGCCCCAAAAAGAGGUUAUUGAAAUGUGACAUAAACAUUAAAAAAGGUGCUUAGUUAAUGAGUGGACAGUUCUGUUGGUUAUCACAAGAACACAUCCUUAAAACCACCAAGUCAAGAAAAAAGGAUUAACAUUUCAUAAAACCCCUCUUGUCCUCUCCAAUUAAAACAUUAUGUUGUUUCCCUUGGGUAUUUAAUUGUUCAUCGGAAGUAAUAUUUUUUAUGCCAUUACAUCUUCUAUUCAAUUUGUGUAUAUGAAAACUACUGAUUUUAUGUCUUAAUUUUAUAACCUUCUGCUUCACUGAAUUAUUUUUUUUAGUUUUAUCAUUGCUUUUCUGAGUUUUUUCAAGUAUACUACGCAGCAAAUUGAGAUAGCUUUACUUGUGUACCCAUUCUUAGUCUCUGGUUUUGCUUGUCUGAUUGCAUUGGCCAGUACUUCUAAUACAGAGAUGUAUUAGAAGAUCUUUACCUUUACUGUAGAUGAAAUGACUCAAAUGUUUUUUUCUUAAGAUAUUAUCUUGUAGAAGUUAGGUAAUGAACAAUCCCCCACACUUUCCACUUAUUAUUCUUCGUUUUUUCACCAGCUUUCUGAGAGCUCUGUCUCAGAUACUUAAGACAUAAAGUCUCAGGUACCGACAGCAGCCAGAUACAUGUGACAUCAUUACAAAGUGGUAUUCCAGCCCAUGGGAGCCCAAGCUUCACACUGAGGAGGCUAAGAAUGGGCCUGGAGAACCAACAAGGAUCUCAAACUGUACACACAGAUCUUGUUGCUGUGGACUGUGUUCACUCCCUUGUAUAGGAUCUGCCAAUCAACUCACCCCACCGUGGAGAAGCAGCAGCAGCUGAUUUAAUACAGCCUAUGACUAUCCUAGGUGUUUAAAGGGUGAGCACAGGGGUGGACUCUGACUUCGAGGCCAGAUUUGUUUCUUCUGCUCUUGCUUGGUUCCUUUGAAGGCCUCUCCCUCCCUCCCUCCCACCUAGGGCUUACCACUGAGCUACAUCCCCUGUCCCUGCAGCCUUCUGCCUUCU